UGCGCAGGCGGUAUGAUAAGUCAGUGGUGAAAUCCUACAGCUCAACUGUAGAACUGCCAUUGAUACUGUUGUUCUUGAGUACAGUUGUAGUGGGCGGAAUAUGUCAUGUAGCGGUGAAAUGCAUAGAUAUGACAUAGAACACCGAUCGCGAAGGCAGCUCACUAAGCUGAAACUGACGCUGAGGCACGAAAGCGUGGGGAGCAAACAGGAUUAGAUACCCUGGUAGUCC
rnacentral:rRNA from 1 species